rnacentral:rRNA from 1 species
AUGACGGCUUUGCGAGAGGAUGACGAAGCAGCGGUGGUCAACGCCCAUGGCGGUUCAGGGCGCGGUGCAGGGCUGCAGGCCGACACUGCUGGCGAUCUGGGGACGCUGGGACCCCAAGCAGAGGAGCAGGUGCUGCUCCGGCGACGCAUCGGUGCAGGGAAUGAAAUGAAAAGCACGGGCAGGAGCAAGGCCAUGGCAGACGAGGGGCUUGAGCAGCAGCAAGAGGAGAGGCGGAUGCGAAGCAGGGAGGCGGAGCUCCUGCAAAACGGCGGCAGCGCGGCUGAUUGCUGGUGGUGGAGAGCCCCGGCAACGAUGAGCUGCAGGAGGCCGGCCUUGAAGCGCCGUUGCUCGAGGCGAGGAGCAGGGGACGAUGCCGACGAAGGGGAGGCCGGAGGUGGCGCUGGCCCGCGGCGGCCGCAAGGCAACGAUAUUGGCGCGCCGGAGGUGGGGACGGGGCCCUGA